GAUGAAGAACGUAGCGAAAUGCGAUACGUAAUGUGAAUUGCAGAAUUCAGUGAAUCAUCGAAUCUUUGAACGCACAUUGCGCCUGCCAGCACUCUGGCAGGCAUGCCUGUUCGAGCGUCAUUUCAACCAUCAAGCCCUAGGCUUGCGUUGGAGCCCUGCGGCUGCCGCAGGCCCCUAAAAGCAGUGGCGGGCUCGCUAUCACACCGAGUGCAGUAGAUUACUCUUCGCUCAGGGCGUGUGGCGGGUUCCAGCCGUGAAACCCCCUACUUCUCAAGGUUGACCUCGGAUCAGGUAGGAAUACCCGCUGAACUUAAGCAUAUCAAUAAGCGGACGA
rnacentral:misc_RNA from 1 species